CAGGGUAAGACCAGGUUACAACUGUCACAGCGCCUCAUUUCCUUGUAACAUGCAUCCUGAUACUGAGCACAAAAAUCUUGAUUUUGACUUGAAAUACUAGCCUCUUGGAACCCACAUAGGUGAACUUCUGGAUGUGCACCAUGCGCAGCACCACUCCUAGUGCCCAGGAAACCACUUUCAGCUAAAACCGCCUCUUCUAGUGCCAUCUGAAA
rnacentral:misc_RNA from 1 species